rnacentral:rRNA from 1 species
AUUGAACGCUGGCGGCAGGCCUAACACAUGCAAGUCGGGCGAGUGGCGGACGGGUGAGUAAUGUAUGGGAAACUGCCUGAUGGCGGGGGAUAACUACUGGAAACGGUAGCUAAUACCGCAUACCAUCAGAUGAACCCAUAUGGGAUUAGCUAGUUGGUGAGGUAACGGCUUACCUAGGCGACGAUCCCUAGCUGGUCUGAGAGGAUGACCAGCCACACUGGGACUGAGACACGGCCCAGACUCCUACGGGAGGCAGCAGUGGGGAAUAUUGCACAAUGGGCGCAAGCCUGAUACAGCCAUGCCGCGUGUAUGAAGAAGGCCUUCGGGUUGUAAAGUACUUUCAGUCGGGAAGCGGUACCUGCAGAAGAAGCACCGGCUAACUCCGUGCCAGCAGCCGCGGUAAUAC